GACAACGCUGGCGGCGUGCCUAAUACAUGCAAGUAGAACGCUGAAGGAGGAGCUUGCUCUUCUGGAUGAGUUGCGAACGGGUGAGUAACGCGUAGGUAACCUGCCUGGUAGCGGGGGAUAACUAUCGGAAACGAUAGCUAAUACCGCAUAAUAGUAGAUGUUGCAUGACAUUUGCUUAAAAGGUGCAAUUGCAUCACUACCAGAUGGACCUGCGUUGUAUUAGCUAGUUGGUGGGGUAACGGCUCACCAAGGCGACGAUACAUAGCCGACCUGAGAGGGUGAUCGGCCACACUGGGACUGAGACACGGCCCAGACUCCUACGGGAGGCAGCAGUAGGGAAUCUUCGGCAAUGGACGGAAGUCUGACCGAGCAACGCCGCGUGAGUGAAGAAGGUUUUCGGAUCGUAAAGCUCUGUUGUAAGAGAAGAACGAGUGUGAGAGUGGAAAGUUCACACUGUGACGGUAUCUUACCAGAAGGGACGGCUAACUACGUGCCAGCAGCCGCGGUAAUACGUAGGUCCCGAGCGUUGUCCGGAUUUAUUGGGCGUAAAGCGAGCGCAGGCGGUUAGAUAAGUCUGAAGUUAAAGGGCUGUGGCUUAACCAUAGUACGCUUUGGAAACUGUUUAACUUGAGUGCAAGAGGGGAGAGUGGGAAUUCCAUGUGUAGCGGUGAAAUGCGUAGAUAUAUGGGAGGAACACCGGUGGCGAAAGCGGCUCUCUGGCUUGUAACUGACGCUGAGGCUCGAAAGCGUGGGAGCAAACAGG
rnacentral:rRNA from 1 species